rnacentral:rRNA from 1 species
UUGGAGGGCAAGUCUGGUGCCCGCAGCCGCGGUAAUUCCAGCUCCAAUAGCGUAUAUUAAAGUUGUUGCAGUUAAAAAGCUCGUAGUUGAAUUUCGGGAUCAAAUAAUCGGUCGUGCCUCCGGUACGUACUGGUUUUAUUGGUUCCUCCCUUCUGACGAACCAUGAUGUCAUUAAUUUGAUGUGGUGGAGAAUCAGGACUGUUACCUUGAAAAAAUUAGAGUGUUUAAAGCAGGCUAACGCUUGAAUACAUUAGCAUGGAAUAAUGAAAUAGGACGUUCGACCCUAUUUUGUUGGUUUCUAGGAUCGACGUAAUGAUUAAUAGGGAUAGUUGGGGGCAUUAGUAUUCAAUUGUCAGAGGUGAAAUUCUUGGAUUUAUUGAAGACUAACUUCUGCGAAAGCAUUUGCCAAGGAUGUUUUCAUUAAUCAAGAACGAAAGUUAGGGGAUCGAAGACGAUCAGAUACCGUCGUAGUCUUAACCAUAAACUAUGCCGACUAGGGAUCGGACGAUGUUAAUUUUUUAAUGACUCGUUCGGCGCCUUACGGGAAAC